ensembl:lncRNA
AGAAAGCCUCCUACCCUAACAUUCCUGCCCUUCCUUUCCAUUAAACCUAAAAGACAAGGUCACUAUUUUGCUGAUGUUUACCUGUCAAAGAUAAUUCUCAGGUCCUAGAGAAAGACAUUUUAAUUUUAAAGUAAUGCUGUAAUAGAUAUCAGAGGCCUAGAAUCCAGAAAGAAAUCUGUUUCUUCAAGUUGAAGAUUCUGGAGGAUUGAAAUCGUCAGAAUCUUUUGCCAGAUGUUCUAUCAUUAACUCAAGAGCAGAGGACAAAGACUUCUCCUGCUCCUGUUGCCUCAGCUGUCCCUGGGGUCUGCCUCAGCUCUACCUCCCCUCAGCUCUAUCUCUGAAGUAUAGCCACCAAGAAGGACUGUACUGAAUGCAGUGGGUUCAUUUCUUGGUAAGUGCAAAGCCAAUAUAUACAACUAGGAGAUAAAAAGUUAAAGAGAGAUUUAUUACUUGUAGCAAGUAAAGAGCAGACUGGAGAUAAUUCUCAAAGCAGCAUCUCCUCAGACAAAGAAAGCAAGGGGCUUUUACUGAGGAAACUCACACACAUUCAUGUAGGAAAGAUCAUCAUCAUAUCAAAAAGCUAGCACAUUCCUGUAUGAAUAGGCACGUUCCUGAGUAUGCUCAGUUCAGGAUUAUGCUUCACAUGUUCACAAACAGGAAUUCCUAGUAGGUAAAGAAUUUAGUAUUUUAAUGAGCAAAAUUUACUCUAGAUCACCUAAAAAGAGUGAGUCAGAGAGACCUGUAGAUUUUGGCUGGUUCUUUAUAAGUUUCUCUGGAAGGCUGUAUUUAAAACAAAUAAAACACAACUUCAAAGAGAUGUUAACAGUCAUUUAAAGAGGCGCAGAUUUUUACCCUAAAAGCAUAGGUAAUUUUUCCUAAAGACAUCUGCCUGGCUAACAGGACCAGAAUCCUGUGUCAGACACCUCAGCCUCAGAUUGUUCCUACAUGUUGGGUUGAGUGGUCAGAGCUCUUGGGAGCACAUUGUCUCCAUGCCAAUCCACAGUUCCCACCUCUCAGCAGUGUUGAUGUCUAUGAACAGAGCUGGGUGAUUGGCAGAGCACUGCUUUGGUUAGGAAAAACAGAUUACACAUGAUUCAGUGGCUCCUUACUUGGAGCACAGCCUCUGCAGUAAGCAAGGUGCUCCCAGGUCCAGUCUACUUACUUGAAGGAAGCUAUGGAAGCGAAGGCAUUGCCACUACCCUAUGUUUUCUAAAGUAAAUACUCUGCAUAAAGAGGAGUGAGAGCCCUAGAAUCAAGAAGUUUGUCAACUUUUGUCAAGUUGAGGGGAAUGUUAUCUCAUUCAAAAUAAUAAUAUUUUGUAACAUUGCUAUAAUCAUUGAAUGUAUUAUUUAUUUAUUCUAUGUAGAAAGCAGAUAGGAGUUCGUUGACUUUUUAAACUCUAGGGAAGAGUUUGAAAUUGCUACAGUUUUUUUAAAGUUUUGAGACAAAAUAUCACAGGUUGGCCUCAAACUCAUGAUUCUCCUAUCUCAGCCACUUGAAUAGCUGGGAUAGAAAAAGUAAAUGUAAAAAGAUGACAAGGAAAAUCUUAAUUUUAUUUAAGAAAUACUUCAGCACUAGUAUGGCGAUGCAUACCUAUAACCCCAGCACUAGGGGGCUGAGGCAGGAAGAUUGCCACAAAUUCCAGGCCAGCCUGGGCUACAUAGCAAGACCUUGUCUUGAGACAAAGAAUUAAAGGAGGGGGGGAGGGGGAGAGACAGAGACAGAGAGAGAGGAAAACUUCAAAAGGUAAUCAAGGUUACAUUGUCUUUUUCCCUUCCAGGAAACUCCAAAAAUAAUAUUCCUAAGGGUCUCAAAAACACAAUAAACUUGUGAAGUGAGCUCAGGACCCAUGCUUUUCACCUUUACAUUGUUCUUCCACCUAGAGACCUCCAUCCUCAAGAAACCAGCAAUGUUACUGGGCAGCAGAUCUCAACUUCUAACACAUGUAAAUGAUCUGCAUUCUAACAUAGCCCACCAGAUGGGUAAGAGACAGACAGUAGGAAUACACAUCCUACAGGACCACAUAAAUAUACCCAACACCAGGCUGUAAUGCACCUCAUUCCCUGAAUGCAUGCACUCCCUUCCAAGUGCAUACAUUUUUUUCUGCUAACUAAAUGUCUGUGCUUUCUGUUGCACCCAGUGAGAAAGAACCAACCAGAGACCGAUAUUAAAUCCACACAGGGGUUUAUUAUCGGUCAGGACCCAAGCCAAGCAUCAGACUCGAGCCUCCACUGGGGGAAGACAGACAUGUUUUAUACACCUUUGAGGCCAACAGUUUCUAGGCCCCCCUAUGGGAUAGAAGUAAAAGAGCAAGGGGAACAGCUCUGCUCCUCUGCUGAAGAAUGGGAGGGAUGAGCAAAGAUAUCAGCACACUGAUGGUAAGGCUAGCCCCAAGGACAAAGUAAUUGUCAGUAAUAAUCAUAAAGAAACAUGAUAAUGACUACUGAGCAAAAUGCUAGAAACUUAUGCUUUAGAACUCCCUGAAAACAAAAACAAAAACUAUCCAUAGAAUUCAAAGGGCUAUGAGCUCAGAAAAACUUCAAGCAUUCUUGACAAUUGAGAAAUGUGAUUAAAAAUCAAAUAUGCUAGUAGGAAGGGUGAAGUAUUUGGUGGUGAAAAUGAUUAAUAGUAAUUAAUUCUCAUAGAAUCAAAUUUUCAAACUGUCUAAAAUAUUCAAGACUCUAUUGCUGUCUUCUUAAAAGAAAAAUGGUUGAAACUCCUCCUCCAGUGUGACCCUUUAGAGAGCUAUGAGGAGGCUUCUAAGUAGUGGAUGAGAGACCCAUGGCUUGUCUGAGAGUCAAAGAGGCAACUUCAAGAGCAGGAAUCUUCUACUAAGAAAGAAACUGUAUGUUAACUAACCAUGUUAGCUAACAUGGUGGUUAAAAGGGAAGAUUGUGGCUGGUUAGAAAAAGAAAACUCAGAAGAAGGGUCCCCAGUUGCAGGGAACCCCCCCCAUCUAGCCCCCGCCAGCCAGACACAACCACGGAUGCUGCAGAGGGGUCCCCUGUCACAGGGAACCCACCCCAUCCAGCACGUACCCCCAGCAGCGAUCCAUUUAGUGGCGUGGGCACCUGCAGGACCCACCCCCUCCAGUUCCUCUGGACUCUUGGCUGUACUGCCACCUGGUUCCACACUACAAAGACACAGGGGACACCGGACCACCAGACCACUGUACUAGGUAAGUUGGAGGGAUCAUCAGCUUCCAUCGGAACCAGGACUAUCUUCACAGGAAGGGCAGCUGGAACCUGCAGUACAACCUUGCAGAGUUCAACCCUACAGGAAGACAGGGAGCUCAACUUGGGAAAUCUGCCUGCAUCUUGCAGGUCUGCUACUGGCUUGCUGAGACUCAUUGACUUAUAUCUGCACAGUGCUGCCCACAUUGUCUAUUGUGACAACAGAGACAUACCCUGGAGGCCCUUCAUUUUCAUUUUUAUUUUUUAUAGUUUGUUUGUUUUUUCUCCUCUUAUCUUUAAUUUUUUUGCUACUCUUUGCAAAUUUUUGUUUUUCUCUCCUUUUUUCUUCUUUCUUUUCUCUUUCCUUUCUCCCUCUCUUACACUCACUGUCUUGCUGUCCCACAUUGUUCAUCUCCCUUUUUGUUCCUGUUCUGGCCCUCAUUCAGAUUUCUUCUUUAUUUUUCUAUUAUUCUCUUUUUCCUUCUCUUGCCUGUGUCCUCUGGCCUUACUGCUAACCUUCCCCUAUCCUUCUACCUAUCUAUCCCUCCCUCCCCAACUCCUUCUAAUUCCCCAGCCUAAAGGGUAAAGUUGUUAUAUUGAAGAGUUUAUUCACUAUAAACAUAUGUUGGGUUGGUCCUCAAUUUUGAUUUAAUUCACACAGGUAAAGGUGAUGGAUUAAUAACUACCACAAAAUGUCAUUCUCUAAGAUGUACUUAAUGCUAUGGUGUUGCUGAUUGUAUCACUUG